UAGGGAAUAUUGGGCAAUGGCCGCGAGGCUGACCCAGCCAUGCCGCGUGCAGGAAGAAGGCCUUCUGGGUUGUAAACUGCUUUUAUCUGGGAAGAAAACGCCCAUGCGUGGGUAACUGACGGUACCAGAUGAAUAAGCACCGGCUAACUCCGUGCCAGCAGCCGCGGUAAUACGGAGGGUGCAAGCGUUGUCCGGAUUUAUUGGGUUUAAAGGGUGCGUAGGCGGCCCGUUAAGUCAGCGGUGAAAUCCCGGGGCUCAACCCCGGAACUGCCGUUGAUACUGGCGGGCUUGAGUUCGGUCGAGGCGGGCGGAACUGGCGGUGUAGCGGUGAAAUGCUUAGAUACCGCCAAGAACCCCGAUUGCGUAGGCAGCUCGCUUGGCCGAA
rnacentral:rRNA from 1 species